GUGGAUUAGAUACCCUAGUAGUCCUAGCUGUAAACGGUGCAUGUUUGCUGUAAAAGGAAUCGACCCCUUUUGUGGCGUAGCCAACGCGUUAAACAUGCCGCCUGGGAAGUACGGUCGCAAGAUUAAAACUCAAAGAAAUUGACGGGGGCCUGCACAAGCGGUGGAGUAUGUGGCUCAAUUCGAUGCAACGCGAAGAACCUUACCUGGCCUUGACAUGUAUGUAGUAGAAGGGUGAAAGCCUGACGAGGUAGCAAUACCAGCAUACACAGGUGCUGCACGGCUGUCGUCAGCU
rnacentral:rRNA from 1 species